rnacentral:rRNA from 1 species
ACUGCUCAGUAACACGUGGACAACCUAACCUACAGAGGGGGAUAACCCCGGGAAACUGGGGAUAAUACCCCAUAGACUAUGGAUGCUGGAAUGCUUCGUAGUUGAAAGGUCCGCCGCUGUAGGAUGGGUCUGCGGCCGAUUAGGUUGUUGUUGGGGUAACGGCCCAACAAGCCUGUAAUCGGUACGGGUUGUGGGAGCAAGAGCCCGGAGAUGGAUUCUGAGACACGAAUCCAGGCCCUACGGGGCGCAGCAGGCGCGAAAACUUUGCAAUGCGGGAAACCGUGACAAGGGAACUCUGAGUGCCCGUUAAAUCGGGCUGUCCAUCGGUUUAAAUAACCGGUGAAGAAAGGGCCGGGCAAGACCGGUGCCAGCCGCCGCGGUAAUACCGGCGGCUCGAGUGGUGGCCACUAUUACUGGGCUUAAAGCGUUCGUAGCUGGUUUGUUAAGUCUCUGGGGAAAUCUUCCGGCUUAACCGGAAGGCGUCUCAGGGAUACUGGCAGACUAGGGACCGGGAGAGGUGAGAGGUACUCCAGGGGUAGGAGUGAAAUCCUGUAAUCCUUGGGGGACCACCUGUGGCGAAGGCGUCUCACCAGAACGGCUCCGACAGUGAGGGACGAAAGCUGGGGGAGCAAACCGGAUUAGAUACCCGGGUAGUCCCAGCUGUAAACGAUGCGCGUUAGGUGUAUCGGUGACCACGAGUCACCGAGGUGCCGAAGAGAAAUCGUGAAACGUGCCGCCUGGGAAGUACGGUCGCAAGGCUGAAACUUAAAGGAAUUGGCGGGGGAGCAC